CAGAGAAAGAACUUCGGAAAAUAAUAUGAAAGCUUGUUGAAGGGUUUGGCAAUGAUAAAGACAAUAUACUAUCAAAACCCGUGAAGUUUGCAGCUGGGUAUCAGCGUAUAGGUGUGGAGGACAUGCACAAAAGGAAAAAUUCAGAAAAAAGCUCCUAAGAUUAUAGAUCAAUGUAUGUUGAUGGACCACAUCAAAUGCUUUGAAACUGUGGCCGUUGGAGUGAAAGACAUUGUACCAUAUUCAGUCGCCUUCAGUUGUGGAUCUAGAAUAUCCAGAGGUAGUGUAUAUACAGACUUACAGAGAAAGCAAAGGAUGCGGCCAUUGGUGUUGGAAGCAUCAAAUAUGGUAAGAUUCGAUUGAGAAAAUUCGGGUAGAAAAUCACAAAGAAGGUAAGAUCUGAUUGUCUCCAAGUCGGGUCGAAAUAAAUGAUUUCCGGGUCAAAAUUUUGAUCCGAUUAGGGACCCCAAAAACUGCUGCAAAAAUGUAUAGUAGAUAGAAGCCGAAAAAAGAUA